rnacentral:rRNA from 1 species
AGAGUUUGAUCCUGGCUCAGAACGAACGCUGGCGGCGUGGAUAAGACAUGCAAGUCGAACGAGAGAAUUGCUAGCUUGCUAAUAAUUCUCUAGUGGCGCACGGGUGAGUAACACGUGAGUAACCUGCCCCCGAGAGCGGGAUAGCCCUGGGAAACUGGGAUUAAUACCGCAUAGUAUCGAAAGAUUAAAGCAGCAAUGCGCUUGGGGAUGGGCUCGCGGCCUAUUAGUUAGUUGGUGAGGUAACGGCUCACCAAGGCGAUGACGGGUAGCCGGUCUGAGAGGAUGUCCGGCCACACUGGAACUGAGACACGGUCCAGACACCUACGGGUGGCAGCAGUCGAGAAUCAUUCACAAUGGGGGAAACCCUGAUGGUGUGACGCCGCGUGGGGGAAUGAAGGUCUUCGGAUUGUAAACCCCUGUCAUGUGGGAGCAAAUUAAAAAGAUAGUACCACAAGAGGAAGAGACGGCUAACUCUGUGCCAGCAGCCGCGGUAAUACAGAGGUCUCAAGCGUUGUUCGGAAUCACUGGGCGUAAAGCGUGCGUAGGCUGUUUCGUAAGUCGUGUGUGAAAGGCGCGGGCUCAACCCGCGGACGGCACAUGAUACUGCGAGACUAGAGUAAUGGAGGGGGAACCGGAAUUCUCGGUGUAGCAGUGAAAUGCGUAGAUAUCGAGAGGAACACUCGUGGCGAAGGCGGGUUCCUGGACAUUAACUGACGCUGAGGCACGAAGGCCAGGGGAGCGAAAGGGAUUAGAUACCCCUGUAGUCCUGGCAGUAAACGGUGCACGCUUGGUGUGCGGGGAAUCGACCCCCUGCGUGCCGGAGCUAACGCGUUAAGCGUGCCGCCUGGGGAGUACGGUCGCAAGAUUAAAACUCAAAGAAAUUGACGGGGACCCGCACAAGCGGUGGAGUAUGUGGCUUAAUUCGAUGCAACGCGAAGAACCUUACCUGGGCUUGACAUGUAAUGAACAACAUGUGAAAGCAUGCGACUCUUCGGAGGCGUUACACAGGUGCUGCAAGGCCGUCGUCAGCUCGUGUCGUGAGAUGUUUGGUUAAGUCCAGCAACGAGCGCAACCCCUGUUGCCAGUUACCAGCACGUGAAGGUGGGGACUCUGGCGAGACUGCCCAGAUCAACUGGGAGGAAGGUGGGGACGACGUCAGGUCAGUAUGGCCCUUAUGCCCAGGGCUGCACACGUACUACAAUGCCCAGUACAGAGGGGGCCGAAGCCGCGAGGCGGAGGAAAUCCUGAAAACUGGGCCCAGUUCGGACUGUAGGCUGCAACCCGCCUACACGAAGCCGGAAUCGCUAGUAAUGGCGCAUCAGCUACGGCGCCGUGAAUACGUUCCCGGGUCUUGCACUCACCGCCCGUCA